rnacentral:lncRNA from 1 species
CCCUCGGGCGCGCCUGCGUGGAAGGGACCACCCCACCUCCCCCUGCCCAGUUCCCAGCUGCCUGCUCGGGGUCGCCCCGCAGAAUCAGCCCACCAAUCCAUCAGCGGGCAGCAGGCUCCGAGCUGCUGGGGGCAUAAAUCAAAUGGCAAGGAGGAAAGGUUUAAAAAAAGGAAGAGACCGAUUGCUCGCUUUUCUGACCACGAAGACAGCUACAAAACUCCUACUGAUGACAAAACAGACCCGUAGCAGGAACUCUAGACUUCUCUCCGGUUGGGAUUUAGUACCGCUGGGCUCCUUUCUGAUCCUCGCUAGGAACUAAGUCAUCAAGAUGUAUAGCCCCACCCCCACCCCCCUUCUUCUUUAGCUCGAGCAGGUAACUUUCCAGAAGAGGAGCUGGCUGCAGAAUCUUUUACACUUGGGGUAAGACGGCUGAGUGUCAACAAACAGUAGCUGUCCUGAUGUAUCAGGUCUUCAAUGAUGCUUUAAUCUCAAGACCACUUGAUUCUUACCGCAACUGAGAAACCUUACAGGUAGAAAUACACGCGCGAUCUAGGGCCUUUUGGCUCUAGAGUGCUUUUCAAGAAUGUAACUCUUGGAGCACACUGUAGGACAGCGCUGGGCAAAUCCUGGCUUCAGGUCAGAGCUUGAUGCUCAGAGGUGAAGCGAGUUCCGGAUUUCUUCCUGGUUAGACAGGAAGCAGUUAAACAACUCUGUUCUCCUACCACAAGGAGGCGCUGUGAAGAUCGCGGUAGACCUGGAUCUUGGUUCUUGGUCACAGCGUUCUCAUAAUUAGAGACAUCCAGGAUGAGCCCAAAGGGACCUCAGAGGUGCCAGGUUUGGUGCCACCCUGUCACAGAGUGGCACCAUAGGGCAGAGGUGUCUCUGGUUCUCGCCUGGUGCUGGAGCCAGGCUUUGGGUGGCCACUAGGUCUCUGCAGGGUACUGAAGGCCUGCAGAGUCCUCCUCCUCCAGAGCAGUGAUGCUUCCAGAACCAGUGAGCACUUGCGUUUCUGCUCCUGUCUUUAAUCAGAGUGGUUUCAAGUGUCUGGUUUAUUUUUUAAACAUAGGAAAGAUUUAGCAUCAAACUUACAAGUAUUAAUCUUUGGACAUACUUUAUUUUGGAAUAAUUCAGAUUUAUAGAAAAGUGGUGAAGAUAAUACAGACAGAGGCCAUAUACCGCUCUCCCAGCCUCCCCCAAUGCUGACCUCCAAAUGACCAGGGAAGGGAACAUUAGUUUAUUACUAUUCACUAACGCCUGAAUUGGAUUUCAGCAAGGUCUCUCUUACUGUCUUUUUACUGUCUUGGCAUCUGGUCAGGGUACCAUACUGCAUUUAAGAGGGUAUUACUUUCUAUUACAAUACAGAAUUAAUUUCCUAAACAAACCAUGCCACAUGCACACACACACACACACACACACACACACACACACACAAAGAAAGGAAAAGUCCCCUCUGCCCUAUUAAGUUUGGUCUGUAGCCUUCUAGAUCUUCAUCAUCCAAUACGAUACCUGGCUGAUGAGGUGACCACAAGUUAAAUGAACUAAAAUCCACCAUAACUAACAUUCAGUUCCUCAGUCACACUGAUUACAUCCCAUGGGCUCAGUAGCACACAUUGCUGGUGGUUACCAGCCCCAGGCAGCAUAGAGAGCAGAGCCUUCCAUAGCACACCGGGCUUGCAUUGUUCUAGGUGUGUUUCUAGGUUUAAAUAUACGUGUUUAACAUUUUACCUAAUUUUUUCCCCCAUUGAUUGACUUUUUCUUUCAUUAAAAGAUUUGUAGCAUGCAA